rnacentral:rRNA from 1 species
AGCCCUGGAGGUUGCAAAAAAUUGGUGGCUGCGACUGUUUAUUAAAAACAUAGCACUGUGCAAACACGAAAGUGGACGUAUACGGUGUGACGCCUGCCCGGUGCCGGAAGGUUAAUUGAUGGGGUUAGCGUAAGCGAAGCUCUUGAUCGAAGCCCCGGUAAACGGCGGCCGUAACAAUAACGGUCCUAAGGUAGCGAAAUUCCUUGUCGGGUAAGUUCCGACCUGCACGAAUGGCGUAACGAUGGCGGCGCUGUCUCCACCCGAGACUCAGUGAAAUUGAAUUUGCGGUCAAGAUGCCGUAUACCCGCGGCUAGACGGAAAGACCCCGUGAACCUUUACUAUAGCUUUGCACUGGACUUUGAAUUUGCUUGUGUAGGAUAGGUGGGAGGCUUUGAAACCAGGAUUCCGGUCCCGGUGGAGCCGUCCUUGAAAUACCACCCUGUAUACCAUUUUGACCUAACUUGGACCCAUGAAUCUGGGCCGAAGACAGUGUUUGCUGGGCAGUUUGACUGGGGCGGUCUCCUCCUAAAGAGUAACGGAGGAGCGCGAAGGUACCCUCAGCAUGGUCGGAAAUCAUGCAAUGAGUGCAAUAGCAUAAGGGUGCUUGACUGCGAGACAGACACGUCGAGCAGGUACGAAAGUAGG